UAAGACGAACCGUGCGAACGUUGUUCGGAUUCACUGGGCUUAAAGGGCGCGUAGGCGGGUUCUCAAGUCGGGGGUGAAAUCCCACCGCUCAACGGUGGAAGUGCCCCCGAUACUGGGAGUCUGGAGGGAGGUAGGGGUGUGUGGAACUUCCGGUGGAGCGGUGAAAUGCGUAGAUAUCGGAAGGAACGCCGGUGGCGAAAGCGACGCACUGGACCUCUUCUGACGCUGAGGCGCGAAAGCCAGGGGAGCAAACGGGAUUAGAUACCCCGGUAGUCCUGGCCCUAAACGAUGGGUACUAGGUAGCGGCCCGGCAUGGGGUCGCUGCCGAAGCGAAAGUGCUAAGUACCCCGCCUGGGGAGUAUGGUCGCAAGGCUGAAACUUAAAUGAAUUGACGG
rnacentral:rRNA from 1 species